AGAUUGAACGCUGGCGGCGUGCUUUACACAUGCAAGUCGAACGGUAACAGGCCGCAAGGUGCUGACGAGUGGCGAACGGGUGAGUAAUGCAUCGGAACGUGCCCAGUCGUGGGGGAUGACGCAGACGAAAGCUGUGCUAAUACCGCAUACGAUCUAUGGAUGAAAGGCGGGGGACCGAAAGGCCUCGCGCGAGUUGGAGCGGACCGAUCGUCAGAUUAGCGUUAGUUGGGUAGGGUAAACGGCCCACCGAAGGCGACGUAUC
rnacentral:rRNA from 1 species